CCAAUCCAUCACAAUCGCCAACCCCGCGCCCGCCCUUCCCCUCACGCCGCCGCAUCCCUCGCCCUCGCCUCCGCUCAGCGCUCACCCUCACCUCCGCUUGCCCAUCGCGUCCUCGCCCACGCCCAGCGCACGCCGCUCGCCGCCAUCCUCGCCGCAUCCGACUCCGGCCUCCCUAACAAGUGCGGAUCACCGGCUCUCCGCUGCACCAUCGACGCAUCGUGCCCUCGCGCCGGCGGGCGGAAUGGCAGGCGCGGUGGCUACCCGCGGCGGCCUCUCCUCCAACCCUCCUCCGUGCCGGGAACCUACCUGAGUUGUGGGGGCCGAGCCCCCUCAUCCUUCAGAGCUCCGAUCUAGGAUACCGCCGCCCUCCCACAACUCUCCGUCUCCUGCGCAGAUUCUCUCCAUCCUCUCCUCCCUCAUUCGCGAGGCGCACGCGGAUCGACGUGCAGCCGCGCACCAACCGCGUGCUCGGCACCCUCCCUCAUCUGCCGCCGAGAACGCGAGGUUGGCCGUCCGCCGCCGCCGCCGCCCUCCGCAGUGAGGUACCGCUAUCCGCCCGCGCGAGGAGGCGGGUCGCGCGGUGCCGGCGACAGCUUGCAGGAGAUGGGCACGCCACCAGCUCGAGCAAGGAGCACUUGCUGCCAUCAACCCAUCCAUCGCCACCCUCCGUCGCGAGGGGGUUCCCGUCCACCCGCGUGAGGUGAUUCUCAGGGCGGAUCGGGCUGGCCUCUCCUUCGACCAAAUCGUAGCAGCCCUAUAGAUUCACUGAUGGAGCAUCUCGUCGUCCCCUCCUCCCUCGCGGCCGGCCUCCUCGUCGCCCCACCUGCCGUGCCACCGCCGCCACGCAGCUCCCUCACCUCGCCGCCGGCUGCGGGCAGUUGGCGGCUUCGGGUGCGCAAGGUCGGAGUCCACAAGCGUCGCCGUCAACUUCCGCACGCCGCAGUUCAAGCUCCUAGAGCCACUGACCGAGAAGCUCUGGACGUUGGAUGAUUUCGAGGGCAACCCUGCACUUCAAAUCAGUCACUCUUUCUGUAUAGCUUGCGCUAAAUGUAUCUACUUGCAGCUUGUUACUGAAGAAACACCUCUGUGCAUCAUCUAUAGUACUGGCUGUUAAUCGUGCAGGCUUGGGGAUGUCUAGCUAGAUGUAGAGCUACUGACUUCUAGAGUGGAAGUGAUGAAAUGCGGGAACUUAGUGGGUAUGCACUAUGCAGGCAAUGUUUUUGGUUUGCCUGUCAGUUGACCCAUGACAAUUUCUAUGCUCUGUAAUUUGUAUCUGCUAUGGAUCAAUUGUUCGUUAGGAGUUGAAUAUUUGACUAUAGACCCUACAGAACUGUGAUAAAUAUAGAGUGCUAAUUUGGUAUU